UGGUGGAGCGAUUUGUCUGGUUAAUUCCGAUAACGAACGAGACUCUAGCCUAUUAAAUAGUUCACGGAUUCCAAUUUGUCCGUGUUAACCUCUUAGAGGGACAAGGGGCGUUUGGCCCCACGAGAUUGAGCAAUAACA
rnacentral:rRNA from 1 species